rnacentral:lncRNA from 1 species
CGAAACAAAAAGGGGUAACUAAUAUUUCCAGGUCAUUGGACUUGAAAUAAGUUUCUUUAAAACUGUCUCGUCUAGCUGAAAAUCCUCACCACUAAAAACUCACUAGGUUAACUCUAAUUUUAACACUUUUGCAUAACUAUUUUCGUUACUUUUGUGGGAGUACCUAUGCUUUAUUAUUUGAUUUUGUCUUGCUUGUGUUUCUAAUUU